UUUUUAAUAUAUAUUUUCUGGGCCGGGAACAUGGCGCACGUGCGCAUUAAAUAUUGCACACGGUUUCGAAUUUUUUGACUUUUCCGGUAAGUUUUAGUCUCCGUCGUUAAGCGACAGAGUAAGUAGUGAAGUGGAGUAUCCGUUAUUAGGCAGUGCUGACAAAGAAGGUAGGGUCGGGUUUAUCGUGGAGCUGGGAGGGGCGAGCAUAAGGGACGAAGUUGGGGGAAACAUGUUGGAUGCCGAUCAUACCAGCACUAAAGCACCGGAUCCCAUCAGAACUCCGAAGUUAAGCGUGCUUGGGCGAGAGUAGUACUAGGAUAGGUGACCUCCAUUGCCACCAUUGCCACCAUUGCCAUCUACUACAUAUUGUCAAAUACCACUAACUCUACCACUUCUGCACCAUUGCCACCAUUGCCACCUACUACAUAUUGUCAAAUACCACUAAUUCUACAUAUGUCCC
rnacentral:rRNA from 1 species